rnacentral:rRNA from 1 species
CAGUCGUACCGACGAGAAAUCAGCUUAUCGUGUGUUAACUUGUGGGCGUGCGUGAGUUUCGGCCUCGCCGUUUGCAUGUUUGUGCGCUUUGGGUGUACUUUUUCGUAUGGUUGGCCAACAUCAGUUUCGAUCACCAUAAAAUGACUGGCGGAAUGUAGCUUCGAUUUCGGUUGAAGUGUUAUAGCCUCUGGUAGAUGUGUUGAUUGGGACUGAGGAUUGCAACGAAUAUCCUUUGGGCUAUCCGUCUGGCCUCUGAAAGUUGCUUGGGUGCUGAAAGCUUGCUUAUGGUUAUCUAAGUUAACGGUCAAUAGGUUAGAACGCGAUUACA